rnacentral:rRNA from 1 species
GGGUUUUAUGUUUUACAUGGAGAAUUUAUUUUUAGUAGUUUGAGCGAGUGUUGGGGGUUUCCUAGAGAGAAUUGAGUACUGUGUAGGAAGUUUGAUUUAUUUAUUAUAAUAUUGGGUUGUUUAGUACCUUUUGUAUUAGGGUUGAUUAAUGUGCGGUAACAUUAGUUUUUUCUCGAUGAAUAUCGGGCUAUUUUUUCUUGUUGUGUUCUCGUUGUAUAGAGUUAAAUAGGAGAUUAUAGGUAUGAAAUAUUAUUCAAGUUAUUUUUUAUCUAGUUCUUUAAGAAAUUUAAUAGUCAAUAUUAUUAUUAUAGCAAUAAGUAGGGAUUAGCUUAUUUAUUAUUUAUAUGAGCUUAUUUUAUUAAUUUGUUUAUUAAGUUGAUAGUGCUUAUUUUAAUGGAGUUAUUAUUGGACAAGAAGUUUGAAUUGUUUUUAAUUUUUAUGUGAUUAUUAGGGUUAGAUUAUUAAUUUUUAUUAUUAAGUAAUAAUGAUUAUAUUAGUAAUGUUGUUUAGUUAUUUUUAUUUUAUGAGUGUAGUGGAGAUUAUAGUGGUAGGAAGGUUUAUUUGAAUUAGGAUUAAUGAAUUAGGCAAGAUUAGUUUCUGACUGUUUAGCAAAGACAUUGUUUUUUGUUGGGAUAAAAAAUAAGUUCUGCCCACUGCUAUGGGGUAAAGGGCUGCAGUAUUUUGACUGUAUGAAGGUAGCAUAAUCAUUAGCUUUUUAAUUGGAAGCUGGUAUGAAGGUGAAACAGAGAUUUGCUGUAUAUUUUCUAUUUUUGAAUUUGAUUUUCAUGUGAAAAAUCAUGAGUGGGUUAAUGGGACAAGAAGACCCUAAUAAGCUUAAUCUUUUACUUUAUUGAAUAUAUAGGGCAAAUUAAUAUGAUUUAUUUUUAUUGGGUUUGGCUGGGGCGGCAGUUUAUUAAACAUAGACUUAUUUUUAACUUAAUAUGACGAUAUUUGGACCUAGGUUGUUUAUAUUGGUGUGAAGCUACUGUAGGGAUAACAGCGUAAUUUUAUUUAAGAGUUCUAAUUGACAGUAAA